rnacentral:lncRNA from 1 species
GAUCGUCCUCUCUGCCUGCACGACGGCGGCAGAGGUGGAGAAGGCGGACUGCGGAGCCGGCGGACGGAUUCCGGAGCGAAGAGAUCGGAUCAGAAGCAUCCUCUACCUCGAUCUUUGUCUAUCUCGCGCGCGAGAGAGCUCUGGAACGGAACCGGAAGAAGCCGUGGGUUUCUAGGAUUUAGAAUUUAUGCCCGCGAUCGUCAGACGAGGGGAAGACGAUAAAAAGGGUGAGAAGUUGAAGGCGACGAAACCGAGAGGGAAUUGGAAGUAGGUGGCGACGGCGGGGUAGCUGUAGG